rnacentral:rRNA from 1 species
CCUACGGGAGGCAGCAGUGAGGAAUAUUGGUCAAUGGACGAGAGUCUGAACCAGCCAAGUAGCGUGAAGGAUGACUGCCCUAUGGGUUGUAAACUUCUUUUAUAUGGGAAUAAAAUGUUCCACGUGUGGGAUUUUGUAUGGACCAUAUGAAUAAGGAUCGGCUAACUCCGUGCCAGCAGCCGCGGUAAUACGGAGGAACCGAGCGUUAUCCGGAUUUAUUGGGUUUAAAGGGAGCGUAGGUGGAUUGUUAAGUCAGUUGUGAAAGUUUGCGGCUCAACCGUAAAAUUGCAGUUGAAACUGGCAGUCUUGAGUACAGUAGAGGUGGGCGGAAUUCGUGGUGUAGCGGUGAAAUGCUUAGAUAUCACGAAGAACUCCGAUUGCGAAGGCAGUUCACUGGACUGCAACUGACACUGAGGCUCGAAAGUGUGGGUAUCAAACAGGAUUAGAUACCCCAGUAGUC